AUCCUGCCGACGAAUCCCGGAUAGGAAGAAACGCGUGUCCUGGAU
rfam:Schistosoma rodhaini strain Burundi genome assembly, scaffold: SROB_scaffold0000733